CCAGAAAACAUUAAAUUCUGACAUUCAGAGAGAAAAUAGUGGAAAUUGUUUGUCACUUUUUCCAUGUUCAGAAAGGUCAAAUGCCAAACUAGGCACAAGACAGACACUGGCAUUAUUUGAAGGAAACCAAGAAGAGAGUGUGACCAUAUAAAGAGAGCAUUUUAAGCAGACACUGGUUUGAGAGGCCUGCCUGCACAACCCUGCAUGCGUGCGUGCUAGCAGAGAUGUGCUAGCAGAGAUGUGCUGCCCUUGGACAGACAGUAUGGAGACACUUGCCAAGAUGUGCCCAGGGAUGUGAAGCAGGAUGUUUUGAGGAUAAGAAAAAAGAAGAUUUGGGGCAAGAUGUUCUACUGAUACUUUUGCCAAGAUAUGCUAUGUGACUAAAGCUAUGUUAGCUUUUUGCUUUGUAACCAAUCAAAUAUAUUCCCAUGUCGCUGAACCCGGCAUUACCAUAUAAAUGUACCCUCAGAUUUGCAAUAAACUGAGCACUGAUCAUUACCUCCAUGAGGAUUGAUCUUCGACUCCGGGGGCUCCUCUCUCUCCCUCUCUCUCUCUCCCCCCACCCCGUCCCGUUCUUUCUCUCUCUUUAUUUGGCUACCUGAACAGGGACCACUGGGACCACAGGAACGCCAGAGCGACAUUUGAGCGAAAAGCUGACACUUAUAGCGAAAAGCUGAGCUGUGAUGCUUCGAUUCAGGAGCGAAGGCUGUUGAGGAGCCCAAGCAGUGUUUCAGCCGGGAGUCAGCAAACUACGGACUGAGGAAUUGGACAACCCUGGCCUGCAAAUCACGGAAGCACUCUGAAAACCAUGUACUGUCCUCGAAGAAGAUGCAACAAGAAAGAAUGAACAUUGUAUUAAGAUAAGACCUAAAUGCCAAGCACGUUAAAUCAAAUUUUCAGAAAUAACUUUUCCUUGAACUGGCCGGCCCAGAAACUCACAGAAAACUUGAAGUGGCAGAAGUGAAACCAGCAUGAAGCCAUGAUCCCUUCUUCUUUAAUUUUCAUCGUGCACCCGAGGAUGUUCCCUCCAUGUGUUCUGUAUGGUCACAGACAGAUUAAAACAGAAGUGAAGCCUUGCUGUUUGUAAAAGUAAAAUUUUACAGGAUGGCAGGAAGAAGGAUGGAUGGCAGGAAACAAGGCAUUUUUCUACUCACCUUGCACUCCUCUCUCCUUUCCCAUGGUUUUUGUGGGCGCAGUAUUAAAGAGCUGAAGAGUUCACAGAGGGGCAGACAUCUGAGAGGCUGAGAUGUGCUGAGCAACCUUUUGUGUAGCUCCUCCUGACCUCCUGCAGCUGCCUCUCUGCUGCUUUCCUUGUAUUUUGGCUCUGUGAGCAGUUUUAAAGGUUCUGCUUUGUUGUUCUCCUGUGAAAUGUGCUGAAAUAUUGAACUGCUGCCCCAUUCCCCAGGUUCAUGGGAAGAGCUGGUGCUUCCUAUCACCACACUGAACAGAUAAACAGGAACAAUAAAAGCAGGAGGGGACAAUGGCCACCUUCACUUCAGGUGGGCUUUGUUCUGAGUAUCAUCAAUUAGAGUGACUUAUCCAGGACAGCUUGUGCAGGCUCCUGCUGCUCCAAAGGCCUCUGGCACCAUUUGUAAAUUUCUGGAGCUUGAAAAUAUCCCAUCAGAAUAUAUCUUUUCCUCUCUGCUUUAGGAUAUGACCUUUUGGCUUGGUGUGGU